GAUGAACGCUGGCGGCGUGCCUAAUACAUGCAAGUCGAGCGAACGGACGAGAAGCUUGCUUCUCUGAUGUUAGCGGCGGACGGGUGAGUAACACGUGGAUAACCUACCUAUAAGACUGGGAUAACUUCGGGAAACCGGAGCUAAUACCGGAUAAUAUUUUGAACCGCAUGGUUCAAAAGUGAAAGACGGUCUUGCUGUCACUUAUAGAUGGAUCCGCGCUGCAUUAGCUAGUUGGUAAGGUAACGGCUUACCAAGGCAACGAUGCAUAGCCGACCUGAGAGGGUGAUCGGCCACACUGGAACUGAGACACGGUCCAGACUCCUACGGGAGGCAGCAGUAGGGAAUCUUCCGCAAUGGGCGAAAGCCUGACGGAGCAACGCCGCGUGAGUGAUGAAGGUCUUCGGAUCGUAAAACUCUGUUAUUAGGGAAGAACAUAUGUGUAAGUAACUGUGCACAUCUUGACGGUACCUAAUCAGAAAGCCACGGCUAACUACGUGCCAGCAGCCGCGGUAAUACGUAGGUGGCAAGCGUUAUCCGGAAUUAUUGGGCGUAAAGCGCGCGUAGGCGGUUUUUUAAGUCUGAUGUGAAAGCCCACGGCUCAACCGUGGAGGGUCAUUGGAAACUGGAAAACUUGAGUGCAGAAGAGGAAAGUGGAAUUCCAUGUGUAGCGGUGAAAUGCGCAGAGAUAUGGAGGAACACCAGUGGCGAAGGCGACUUUCUGGUCUGUAACUGACGCUGAUGUGCGAAAGCGUGGGGAUCAAACAGGAUUAGAUACCCUGGUAGUCCACGCCGUAAACGAUGAGUGCUAAGUGUUAGGGGGUUUCCGCCCCUUAGUGCUGCAGCUAACGCAUUAAGCACUCCGCCUGGGGAGUACGACCGCAAGGUUGAAACUCAAAGGAAUUGACGGGGACCCGCACAAGCGGUGGAGCAUGUGGUUUAACUCGAAGCAACGCGAAGAACCUUACCAAAUCUUGACAUCCUUUGACAACUCUAGAGAUAGAGCCUUCCCCUUCGGGGGACAAAGUGACAGGUGGUGCAUGGUUGCCGUCAGCUCGUGUCGUGAGAUGUUGGGUUAAGUCCCGCAACGAGCGCAACCCUUAAGCUUAGUUGCCAUCAUUAAGUUGGGCACUCUAAGUUGACUGCCGGUGACAAACCGGAGGAAGGUGGGGAUGACGUCAAAUCAUCAUGCCCCUUAUGAUUUGGGCUACACACGUGCUACAAUGGACAAUACAAAGGGCAGCGAAACCGCGAGGUCAAGCAAAUCCCAUAAAGUUGUUCUCAGUUCGGAUUGUAGUCUGCAACUCGACUACAUGAAGCUGGAAUCGCUAGUAAUCGUAGAUCAGCAUGCUACGGUGAAUACGUUCCCGGGUCU
rnacentral:rRNA from 1 species